AAGGGAGCUUGCUCCCAGAGGUUAGCGGCGGACGGGUGAGUAACACGUGGGCAACCUGCCUUGUAGACUGGGAUAACAUCGAGAAAUCGGUGCUAAUACCGGAUAAUAGAUGGAACUGCAUAGUUCCAUUUUAAAAGAUGGCAUCUCGCUAUCACUACAGGAUGGGCCCGCGGCGCAUUAGCUAGUUGGUAAGGUAACGGCUUACCAAGGCGACGAUGCGUAGCCGACCUGAGAGGGUGAUCGGCCACACUGGGACUGAGACACGGCCCAGACUCCUACGGGAGGCAGCAGUAGGGAAUCUUCCGCAAUGGACGAAAGUCUGACGGAGCAACGCCGCGUGAGUGAUGAAGGGUUUCGGCUCGUAAAGCUCUGUUGUUAGGGAAGAACAAGUGCCUGAGUAACUGUAGGCACCUUGACGGUACCUAACCAGAAAGCCACGGCUAACUACGUGCCAGCAGCCGCGGUAAUACGUAGGUGGCAAGCGUUGUCCGGAAUUAUUGGGCGUAAAGCGCGCGCAGGCGGUCUCUUAAGUCUGAUGUGAAAGCCCCCGGCUCAACCGGGGAGGGCCAUUGGAAACUGGGAGACUUGAGUACAGAAGAGGAGAGUGGAAUUCCACGUGUAGCGGUGAAAUGCGUAGAUAUGUGGAGGAACACCAGUGGCGAAGGCGACUCUCUGGUCUGUAACUGACGCUGAGGCGCGAAAGCGUGGGGAGCAAACAGGAUUAGA
rnacentral:rRNA from 1 species